rnacentral:rRNA from 1 species
CCCUUAGAUGUUCUGGGCCGCACGCGUGCUACACUGAGUGGAUCAGCGGGUCAGGUUGCGCGAAAGUGUUUCCUAAUCUUGAAAUCCGCUCGUGAUGGGGAUUGACGGUUGCAAUUUUCCGUCAUGAACGAGGAAUACCUUGUAAGCGCGGGUCAUCAUCCCGCGCUGAAUACGUCCCUGCCCUUUGUACACACCGCCCGUCGCUCCUACCGAUUGAAGUUUUCGGUGAGUUGACAGGAGGAUUUUUUUGAAACUGGUUCGCCAGUGGAUUUUAGAUCCAAAUGCCAACGAAUCGAUGGCUUUAGAGGAAGGAGAAGUCGUAACA